UCUCUCUCUCUCUCCCUCUCUUUACUUAGGGAGAUAAUAUUGGGCGGCCGGCUGAGGAAAUGGAGAGAGAGAUCAACGAAAAACUUUUGACAGAAGCGGAGAAUUCUGAAGUUGAGGAAGUGAAGUUCAAGGACAAGCUAUGGACAGAAACCAAGAAGAUGUGGAUUGUUGCUGGCCCUGCUAUUUUCACUAGGUUUUCUACCUUUGGGAUUAAUGUAAUUAGUCAAGCUUUUGUUGGCCACAUUGGAUCCACAGAACUUGCUGCUUAUUCCCUUGUCUUCACUGUUCUUUUGAGGUUUGCUAAUGGAAUCCUGCUGGGCAUGGCUAGUGCAUUAGAAACUCUAUGUGGGCAAUCCUAUGGUGCAAAACAAUAUCACAUGCUUGGAAUUUAUCUCCAAAGAUCAUGGAUAGUGUUAAUAAUUUGCGCGAUCCUCCUCCUUCCUUUGUUCAUCUUCACAACCCAUAUUUUGAGGGCUUUAGGCCAAGAUGAAAGUAUUGUUGAAGUUGCAGGAAAUAUUUCUCUGUGGCUAAUUCCUGUGAUAUUCUCCUUUAUUCCAUCUUUUACCUGCCAAAUGUUCCUACAAGCACAGAGCAAGAACAUGAUUAUUGCAUACCUGGCAGCUUUUUCUCUUUCGAUCCACAUCCUCCUUUCAUGGCUAUUCACUGUCAAAUACAAGUUUGGAAUCCCAGGAGCUAUGGCAUCUACAAUUUUGGCUUUUUGGAUACCAAAUCUGGGCCAGCUUGCGUUUGUUACUUGUGGAGGUUGUCGCGAAACAUGGAAAGGGUUCUCGUUCUUAGCUUUCAAAGAUCUCUUCCCUGUCAUCAAGCUGUCUUUGUCAUCUGGUGCUAUGCUUUGCCUUGAGCUUUGGUACAACACAGUUCUGGUUCUUUUAACUGGAAACAUGAAAAAUGCUGAGGUCUCCAUUGAUGCUCUUGCUAUCUGCCUCAACAUCAACGGAUGGGAAAUGAUGAUAUCCCUUGGUUUCUUGGCUGCUGCGAGUGUUCGGGUGUCGAAUGAGCUAGGGAGAGGGAGCUCAAAAGCUGCAAAGUUCUCCAUAGUGACGACAGUUCUUACAUCAUUCGUUAUCGGCUUCAUUCUUUUCCUGUUAUUCCUAUUCCUCAGAGGAAAGCUAGCUUAUAUAUUUACCGAAAAUCCUAAGGUGGCUGACGCAGUCUCAGAUCUUUCACCACUCUUGGCUUUCUCCAUACUUAUGAACAGUAUACAACCAGUCCUCUCAGGUAAUAUUCCCCUUCUUGGCUAAUAUCAAAAUUGAAUUCUUGUUCGAAAAGCUGGCAGUAACAUGAACGUUAAUGCAUAUAUCUCAAUACACGUUAUAGGAGUUGCUGUGGGAGCUGGAUGGCAGAGCAUUGUAGCAUAUGUUAAUAUAGCCUGCUACUACCUAAUUGGGAUUCCAGUUGGAGUUCUGCUUGGUUAUGUUCUGGAUAUGCAAGUUAAAGUGAGUUUCAGUGUUCUUUCUUUCUUCUCAUUUUUCAUAACCACAUGCAUCUCAACUCUUCUUGCUUGAUUUUUCAUUUUUUCAAUCACUGAAUCAUUUCCCUUUUCGAUAUUCUCCAAAAUCUGUUUUACAGGGUGUUUGGAUUGGGAUGUUGUUCGGUACAUUUACACAAACCAUUGUUCUAAUUAUAGUCACCUGCAAAACUGACUGGGAAAAACAGGUAUUUAAGUUGCCUAUUAGUUGUUGCUGCUGCUUUUAUUUAUAAUUAAUUAUUUUACUAAUAGAACUUAAUGCAAAAAUUAAAUCUGGAAUUAUAAAUUGAACAAUUUUUCUACAGGUAUCUCUUGCUCGUAACCGGAUUAACAAGUGGUAUGUAGCAGAUUCUGUUGAGCAUAACACACAACCACAAGAUGUGUAACUUGAAUCUUAAUUAUUUAUUCUAUAUUUUGAACCAUUCUGGGAAAAGAAUACUGUUGUUGCCAUGGCUACAACUCACCGGUCAAUUGAUUUAUCUUGGUAGUGUUUAAAAGAUGAUAUUUGAGUGUUUCAGGAAGAUUAAUCAGACACCUGUGAAUAUAGGUGCGUGAUGAUAUGGUUUCAUAUUCAUGUCCCAUACAUGAUCCUGACUGCCUCAGGAUUUCCUUGUCAGUUUCAGGAUGCGCUCAUAAAUCCUAAAUGUAUCCAAAAUACUUGUUUGUGGACCUGAGCUGUUCUUCAUAUCAGGUUCCAUAUCCAUAAUUACGCGUAUUUUACUUGGACGUAUUCAUUGAUGUCUGUAUGUGUUAAAUGAGGGAAUAAUUCCGACUUCGUUUAAAGAACAACGAAAACGAGCCAAAUUUCAUUUAAUGAGGCUAGUCCAAGAUUAACGAGCCCAAUAUUAUGACUCUUACGUGGAUAGUCAUACGCAAUAUCUGAACCUGUAAAAUUCCUGAAGAUAAGAGAGCGUUUACACCAUGUAUUAACCUUUACAUAAACAAGAUGAUACUUGUCUUGGCUUAUUUUUUAACGAAGUAAGUCGAGCUCAUUUAUAAUAGAGGAUUAACUGUAAUUUUUACGUUCUUGCUAGGCCAUGGAUAUAUUGUUUUAAAGUUUGAGUUAGAUAGAGGUGAAGGCCAUGAGUGUCAAAAUCAAAAAUUUUUUUUCCACAUUUUGGGCUUUGAAUCUCUAAUAAUUAGGAUGAUUAUGGUAAUUCUAGUCUUUUCAGACGUGGAUGAAAGAAUAAGACUAUUGCUGGGUUAUGAGCGUAAAAGCCCUAUAAAAUUAGCAAGUUUAUGACGAAAUUAAUGGAAUAAUUGAGCUUUUGGUGACGCAUUUGACUGAAUGAAAAUUUUGGAAAAACUUUAUUAUUUAUUCUCGAGGUACAUGUUCUUUUUCUCAUAAAAUAUGAGACUCGCUGUUGUUAAAUUUAGAAAAUAACUGCAAUUAUAUAUUUUACAGAUAGCAUUACUUUUUAAUCUUCUAGUGUAUGUUAUAAUUUUUUCCUUUUAUAAGGCUUAAUAAGAUUAUUUUUUUUGUAAAUAUUUACAUGUCCGCAUGAUACGUAUUCCGCAAAUACGCGGGUCGUUCAAAUAGUAAAGAAAAGAUAUCGUCCCACAGAGAUUUGUUGUUUGAGUACCAAACUAUAAAAGUCAUGAUUAUUUGGGCUAUCAAUGAUUUGUGCCAAAAAUAGAGUAAGAAUGCAGCAAAUUAAAUUGAAAAAAUAAGGAAAUUAUAAUGAAAU
rnacentral:misc_RNA from 1 species